rnacentral:rRNA from 1 species
GUGUCAGCAGCCGCGGUAAUACGUAGGUGGCGAGCGUUGUCCGGAUUUAUUGGGCGUAAAGGGCGUGUAGGCGGCCUGUUAAGUCGGGGGUGAAAACCCGGGGCUCAACCCCGUGCAUGCCUCUGAUACUGAUGGGCUUGAGUGCUCUAGAGGGCAGUGGAAUUGCCGGUGUAGCAGUGAAAUGCGUAGAGAUCGGCAGGAACACCAGUGGCGAAGGCGACUGCCUGGGGAGUAACUGACGCUGAGGCGCGAAAGCUAGGGGAGCAAACAGGAUUAGAUACCCUGGUAGUCC